CACCGGCACCUCGAGUGGUAGCCACUAUUAUUGGGCCUAAAGCAUCCGUAGCCGGCUCUGUAAGUUUUCGGUUAAAUCUAUGCGCUCAACGUAUGGGCUGCCGAAAAUACUGUAGAGAUAGGGAGUGGGAGAGGUAGACGGUACUCGGUAGGAAGGGGUAAAAUCCUUUGAUCUAUCGAUGACCACCUGUGGCGAAGGCGGUCUACCAGAACACGUUCGACGGUGAGGGAUGAAAGCGUGGGGAGCAAACAGG
rnacentral:rRNA from 1 species